ensembl:misc_RNA Y_RNA Y RNA
GGACAGUCAUGACUGUAAACAGUGGUGCUUACAAUGAAUUGAUCACAACCAGUUACAGAUUUAUUUGUUCCUUCUCCAUUCCCACUGCUUUACUUGACUGGCCUUAA